AUUAUAUCAUCACAAUUAAACAUUAUAAUGAUUCGACCUUCUCCACCAGAUUUCCCUUCUCCUCUCCUCCAUCAAAUUUCAACCGGCGAUUCUCGACCCACCGGCCGAUGCCACCUCCAUUUUCCCCUCCCUCUGCCGGCGAUUCGACUCACCGGCCGCAGUCGCGAUCUGCCACCUUUCGCCGCCCGCUAGAGAUCUGCUCUUCCACAUUCUCCGAUGCCACCUCCAUUUUCCCCUGCCUCCCCCGGCAAUUUGGCUCACCGGCCGCAUUCCACCGCGAUUCGCCGCAAUGAGAUCUGUCCCUUCCACAGUUCCACCUUCUGAUUCGAGGUCCGGCGAAGGGCGCCUCUUUGCGAUUUCCGGCGCGAAUCGCCGCGCCCCUAGAUCCCCAAAUCCUCACCGCCUCUUUGCGAUUUUUGGCGACCACGGCAGCCAUGGCCGCUGAUCUGCCCCUCCCACCACCAGAAAACCAGAAAUCGAUCGCCCACCUCCCUUCCCCCUAUGGUAAGUAUUAAAUGUUUGACUAUUUUAAAUAUGGAAUGAUUAUUAUUUUAGAUAGAACAAAUUUUGGAAAGAUGUUUAACAAUGGAAACUUAAACCCUAGAUUUUUAUGUUAAUUUAUUUUCGGUUGCUGCAAAUUAUGUAAAUAUAGAAUGGUUGUAAACUUUAGAAAGAAUUUUUUUUGGAAAUUUUUUUAUCAAAGGAAACUUAAACCCUAAAUUUUCAUCUAUAAAUUCAUUAGUUUGAAUAAUUAACAAUGCAGCAAUCGCAAGGUAACCUUCUUCUUCUUUUGUUGUCUUUCUUUUCUUUUGCAUUAACGCGGUAAUACCUUCUUAUUUUUCUUCUUUUUCCAUAUUUUUGGUUCUAGGUGCCUGGUCCAGAACCGCCGCUCGCCAGCCGCUGUGUUGCAGUCGGCCACUCCUAUUCUCACUUCAACUGUAAGUUCUCCGAAUUCUCUCACCCUCAUUUUCAGUUAUGUCAACAGAUUGUUUUCUGGUGUUUCCACUUCAUUAGAAUUGUAUUCAUUUCAUGGUUGUGUUCAAGUGAAAGGUUUCGUUUUGUUGCAAAUGAUUUGUUGCAAAUGAUGCAUCUGUGUGCUCUACAUUUGGAGAGGAAUAUAAUGAGAUAUUGUUUUGUUUUACUGUAAUCCAUGACAUUUUAAACUCAAACAAGUUUGUCCUUGAUUGGCUUGCUGUUCAAUAUUUUGGUGUCAUAAAGUCCCAUGUUAUGAUUCUGCACUUACAUGUAAGGGGGCCUCUUUAAGUUUAAACUCUACAGUGAAAUUGUAAGUUUCUUCUUCUUCUUCUGUUCCUAUAAUCUAAACGUAUUGUAUUCAUUUCAUGGUUGUGUUCAACUACUAGAGUAUCUGGAAACUUUACAAUUCGCGGCGGCGGUAACCUUCUUCUUCUUCUUCUUCUAUAUUUUCCAGAUUUUUGGUUUAGAUUUUGUUAAUUAAUUCUUGUGAUUGCUUUACUUCCCUGUUUUGGUUUAGAUUUUUGGCUGGGAGUAAGCGAUUGUUGUACUUCCCUGUUUUGUUUUCGAAAUGAGCUGUAGUUAGUGAUGUAUUGUGUGAGUUGCUUUGUGAUCAUGUGUCAAAUUUUUCCUUUGCUAUUCUUUGGUUUUUGUUCCUAUCUUGGAGGAUUUGUUAUGGGUUAUUAUGGGUUAGCUUUGCGUAAUACUUAUCUGAUAUAAAGUAACUUAGAUUUUAAGAUGAGGAUGUGAUGCGCUGCAUAUACUUGGAAUGUUAAUAGUGGGUGAUUUUUAUUGGUUAAUUACCAGACUGUAGAAGAGGUAACACUUUUGUUUUAAUGGAAAUAGUCUCUCAAAUAUUUAUAGUUUCAGAUACAUAUGCUGCCUGCCAGUUAGUAUGGCAGUGAAGAUGGUCAUCCAAAUUCAGACAUUUCACUUUGAAUAAAUCCAUCAUUUUUACAGAAACCCUGCAAUCAUGAGAAUAUUCUUCCUGCAAUAAAGAAAAUUCUCCACUCAAUUUAUACAUGUAUCAUGCAUGACAGAACCGUAGAGAUGGAAUAAUCAUAAGCAAUAGAACAAAUAUAGCAGGUUUCAAGUCAUUCUUCCAUAUUCUAAAGAUGCGAAAAAGAAUAUUAUGUGGCCAAAGGAAAAACGUGCAACUUAUUGUAAGCGCCACAAUCAUCAUAUUUUCUCUAGAGAGUUCAUGUGAUGCCAAAUCUGAGCAUUUCUAUGGCUAACAUGUAUUCCUUUUCUUGCAAAAGAGAAUCAUGUUUCCUAGCGGAUGUUGUCUUUACAUUAUAAGCUGUUUUGUUGCUUGACUUUUUAUUCUUUGCACAUCCCUUUCUCUGUCAUUUUUGUCUUGAAAGGAGUAUAUGUCAUGUAUUGACUCCAUGAAAUGAUUUUAGAAAGGGAAGAAUUAUGUUGCUUUGAGGGUGAAGUCUUAAAAUUCAUUCUCUAUGAGAUGAUUUUAGACCUGGAAGAAUCAUGUUGCUUUUAUCAAUAUAUAAUACGAUUAAGGAAUCCUGCGCUCUCCUUAAUCCGGGGUCCUACGUGGCAUAUCUAAGAAUUCACCAUUCAAAAUCCCUGCAAUUCUAGAGCCUCUAGCUCAAUUCUCUAUCGCUGACGUGGCAAUAUAAUUCCACAUCAAUUAUUAGUAUUAUUUAGUUAAGUAUAUCAUCACAAUUAAACAUUAUAAUGAUUCGACCUUCUCCACCAGAUUUCCCUUCUCCUCUCCUCCAUCAAAUUUCCACCGGCGAUUCUCGACCCACCGGCCGAUGCCACCUCCAUUUUCCCCUCCCUCUGCCGGCGAUUCGACUCACCGGCCGCAGCCGCGAUCUGCCACCUUUCGCCGCCCGCUAGAGAUCUGCUCUUCCACCUUCUCCGAUGCCACCUCCAUUUUCCCCUCCCUCCCCCGGCGAUUCGGCUCACCGGCCGCAUUCCACCGCGAUUCGCCGCAAUGAGAUCUGCCCCUUCCACAGUUCCACCUUCUGAUUCGAGGUCCGGCGAAGAGCGCCUCUUUGCGAUUUUCGGCUCUUUGCGAUUCCCGGCGCGAAUCGCCGCGCCCCUAGAUCCCCAAAUCCUCACCGCCUCUUUGCGAUUUUCGGCGACCACGGCAGCCAUGGCCUCCGAUCUGCCCCUCCCACCACCAGAAAACCAGAAAUCGAUCGUCCACCUCCUUCCCCCUAUGGUAAGUAUUAAAUGUUUGACUAUUUUAAAUAUGGAAUGAUUAUUAUUUUAGAUAGAACAAAUUUUGAACGCAGGAGCAAUGAGCAGGAGCAGCCAUCGUUGAACGCAGUUGUAAGUGAAAAUUCCGCCUACUGCCGUCUCCCUCUCCCUCUCCGCCCCCGCCGGUGUAUUUGCCCUAUUUUGAAAGGUUUGUGAUUAUUCAUAAACUUUUGGUGCAUUUUUCUUAUUUUUCUCAUAUUAUUUCAUAAUAGAUCCGUGUUUUGUUUAUCAGUCGUUCACAAUCGCUGCUCCGACCGCCGUCGAUCGUCUCCGGUUAGUGUUUGCCCCGCCCCCUGCUCUGCCGCCGGCGAUCAUUCUCUUUCAAAAUCAUUAGUGACAUUGUAAAUAUCUGUAUCAUUUCUUUCAAAAUCAUUAGUGUUGAACCAUUUAUUUUUUUUAAUAUUAUAUCUUUGUCAUCAAACUUUACUUGCUUAUUUUUGUAAUAUUAUUGCCGAUUUUUAGGUGAAUUAAGAUUGUCAUAUUAUUUUACUCGCUUAUUUUUUUAAUAUUAUAUCUUUGUCAUCCAACUUUACUUGCUUAUUUUUGUAAUAUUAUUGUCGAUUUUUAGAUGAAUUAAGAUUGUCAUAUAUAUUGCUAUUUAAGGUCGAUAGAUUCAGCAAAGCAAUAGAUUGAAAAGGUAUGGAAUUUGUUUGUGUAGACUUUAAUAAACAACAGAUUACACACUCUCACCG
rnacentral:lncRNA from 1 species